rnacentral:rRNA from 1 species
UGGCUCAUUAUAACAGUUAUUAUAUUAUUGAGAUUAUUUUAUAGGUGGAUACUUAUGAGAAAAUUAUUAAAAAUAUAUGAUUUUAAAAUAUUUAUUUAUUUGGCAUUUAUUUGCUUUCAAACCAAAAUGUUUUAUCAUUAUGGAUGAUUCAUAGUAAUGUUUGGAGAACGCUUCGAUAUGCGGCAGAUCUUCACGGUUUCUGACCUAUCAGUUAGUCAGUAGUGUACUGGACUACUGAAGCGUUGACGGGUAACAGAGAAUUAGGGUUCUGUUCCGGAGAAGGAGCCUGAGAAACAGCUACUAUAUCUAAGGAACGCAGCAGGCGCGUAAAUUACCCAAUUCUGAUAAAGAGAGGUAGUGAUAAGAAAUCACAAUAUUUUACCUUAGGGUUAAGUAAUUGAAUUGAGAACACAGUAGCCAUAUUACCAAUAAACUAUUGGAGGGCAAGUCUGGUGCCAGCAGCUGCGGUAAUUCCAGCUCCAAUGGUGUAUGCUAAUAUUGUUGCAGUUAAAAAGCUCGUAGUCGAAUUUUUAAGAAAAUCAAUUUUAUGUGAUCCUAAUGAACAACAAAAAAAUAUGAUUUAUCUUAUUUUAUGCUUAUACACCUUUGAAAUUCAUUUUUUGAUGGUGGACUGAUUUUGUGUUUACUUUGAGAAAAUUAGAGUGUUCAAAACAGCCUUUGCGGAUUUAUAUUAAAGCAUGGAAUGAUAAAUAAUGACAUCGGCUAAUUUUUGUUGGGAUGAGGAGCUGAGGUAAUGAUUUAUAGAGUCAGUCGGAGGUAUUAGUAUUUUAUCGUUAGAAGUGAAACUCUCGGAUCGUUUAAAGACUAACAACUGCAAAAGCAUUUACCUAGAAUAUUCUCCUUGAUCAAGAACGUAAGUUGAGGGAUCGAAGACGAUCAGAUACCGUCGUAGUCUCAACUGUAAACUAUACCGGCUAGGGGUUAGCAAAUGUUUAUAUGCCAUUGUUAGAACCUUUGGAGAAAUCACAGCGUUUGGGUUCCGGGGGAAGUAUGGUUGCAAGGCUAAAACUUAAAGGAAUUGACGGAAGGGCACCACAAGAUGUGGAUUCUGUGGCUUAAUUUGACUCAACACUGGAAAACUUAUCAGGUCCAGACAUAGGUAGGAUUGACAGAUUGAUAGUUUUUUCUUGAUUCUAUGGGUGGUGGUGCAUGGCCGUUCUUAGUUGGUGAAGUGAUUUGUCUGGUUAAUUCCGUUAACGAACGAGACUUCCACAUGAUAAAUGGCACAAUUUUUACAUAGAAUCAUUGCUUCUUAUAGGGACUGGCUUUGCAUAAAUUGCUGGA